rnacentral:rRNA from 1 species
GACGGUAGUCGUAUGCUCGUCUCCGAGACUAAGCCAUGCAAGUCCAAGUACACGUCCUUGAACGACGGAAACUGCGAACGGCUCAUUAAAUCAGUUGCGAUCUACUCGGCGUUCCGCGCCGCCGGAUAACCGUAGUAAUUCUAGGGCUAAUACGUGCGAAGCGCCCGAAGCCGCGAGGCGACGGGCGUUCUCGCCGGAUGUAGGAACCGACCCGGGGACCGCCGGGGCAACCCGGCGCCCCCGAGACGGGGCGAACCACGGUGAAAUGACGGAUCGUCGGCCCCGCGCCGGCGACUCGCCGAAUGAGUUUCUGACCUAUCAACUCGAGACGGCGGGGUAGAGGCCCGCCGCGGUAACGACGGGUAACGGGGAAUCAGGGUUCGAUUCCGGAGAGGGAGCCCGAGAAACGGCUACCACUUCCAAGGAAGGCAGCAGGCGCGCAACUUACCCUAAUCU